UACGUAGGGUCCGAGCGUUGUCCGGAAUUAUUGGGCGUAAAGGGCUCGUAGGCGGUUUGUUACGUCGGGCGUGAAAACUCAGGGCUCAACCCUGAGCGUGCUUCCGAUACGGGCAGACUAGAGGUAUUCAGGGGAGAACGGAAUUCCUGGUGUAGCGGUGGAAUGCGCAGAUAUCUGGAGGAACACCGGUGGCGAAGGCGGCAUCCUGGACCGAGAUUGACGCUGAGGAGCGAAAGCUAGGGGAGCAAACGGG
rnacentral:rRNA from 1 species